AGUGAAGUGAUAUCUUAUGAUGUUAACUUGAAAUAAUGUUUGUUAUUUUAUAGAUUUAUUUUCAACACUUGUUCGUUUGUCUUAAGCAUCACCAGUUAGUGCCAGGGGCCAGCAGUUUUGAAGUUGCUGGUAUUUAUUUCCAUAUUUAUCUAGGAGCAAAUGUAUCGUUAAAAGAUCAUCUUGGUCGGAAUUUCUUGCACUUGACAGUAUUACAGCCUGGAGGAUUACAACAUCUGAAUGAGAAAUUUCUGCAGAUGGAGCAUAUUAAAAAUCUCGUGGUGGAUGAAGAUAACGAAGGAUGCACUCCACUGCAUUAUGCAUGCAGACAAGGUGUGGCCCUCUCUGUAAAUAAUUUACUCAGCCUCAAUGUUUCCAUUUAUUCGAAGAGCAGAGACAAGAAGUCACCAUUGCACUUUGCUGCCAGCUAUGGCCGCAUCAAUACAUGCCAACGACUUAUAAGGGAUAUGAAAGACACAAGGCUUUUAAAUGAAGGCGAUAAGAAGGGAAUGACUCCCCUUCAUUUGGCAGCCCAGAAUGGUCAUGAGAAGGUCGUUCAGUUUCUUCUGAAAAGAGGGGCCCUUUUUCUCUGGUAUGUGUUCAGGCUUCCA